rnacentral:rRNA from 1 species
UACGUAGGGGGCAAGCGUUGUCCGGAAUUAUUGGGCGUAAAGAGCUCGUAGGCGGUUUGUUGCGUCGGCUGUGAAAUCCCGAGGCUCAACCUCGGGUCUGCAGUCGAUACGAGCAAACUAGAGUGUUGCAGGGGAGACUGGAAUUCCUGGUGUAGCGGUGAAAUGCGCAGAUAUCAGGAGGAACACCGGUGGCGAAGGCGGGUCUCUGGGCAACAACUGACGCUGGAGGAGCGAAAGCCGUGGGGAGCGAACAGG